UGGGGAAUAUUGGACAAUGGGCGCAAGCCUGAUCCAACCAUGCCUCGUGAGUGAUGAAGGCCCUAGGGUUGUAAAGCUCUUUCACCGGUGAAGAUAAUGACGGUAACCGGAGAAGAAGCCCCGGCUAACUUCGUGCCAGCAGCCGCGGUAAUACGAAGGGGGCUAGCGUUGUUCGGAUUUACUGGGCGUAAAGCGCACGUAGGCGGACUGUUAAGUCAGGGGUGAAAUCCCGGGGCUCAACCACGGAACUGCCUUUGAUACUGGAAGUCUUGAGUAUGGUAGAGGUGAGUGGAAUUCCGAGUGUAGAGGUGGAAUUCGUAGAUAUUCGGAGGAACACCAGUGGCGAAGGAGGCUCACUGGACCAUUACUGACGCUGAGGUGCGAAAGCGUGGGGAGCAAACAGG
rnacentral:rRNA from 1 species